AUUGAACGCUGGCGGUAUGCUUAAGACAUGCAAGUCGAACGGUAACAGACCUUCGGGUGCUGACGAGUGGCGGACGGGUGAGUAACACGUGGGAAUCUACCUUGUAGUGGGGGAUAAGCCAGGGAAACUUGGACUAAUACCGCAUACGCCCUAAGGGGGAAAGGAGUAAUUCGCUAUAAGAUGAGCCCGCGUCUGAUUAGCUAGUUGGUGAGGUAAAGGCUCACCAAGGCGACGAUCAGUAGCUGGUCUGAGAGGAUGACCAGCCACAUUGGGACUGAGACACGGCCCAGACUCCUACGGGAGGCAGCAGUCGGGAAUAUUGGACAAUGGGGGCGAACCCUGAUCCAGCAAUACCGCGUGUGUGAAGAAGGCCUGCGGGUUGUAAAGCACUUUUAG
rnacentral:rRNA from 1 species